rnacentral:sRNA from 1 species
GAGCCCCGGAAGGGUGAUGUGGCUGCGGCAUCGCCGGCCUCGCUAUGGUCAGGAGUGUCAUUUCUGUGUUCCCUUCCACCCCCAAAAAGGGAUAAACUAGUUUCAUGUAAAAGAAUCUGCCAUUUUCAAUUUUCAGAGUCUAUUGACUGUAAUCUUGCUGCUUAUAUGUACCUGUGCUUAUAUUCGAUCCUUGGCACCCAGCCUCCUGGACAGAAAUAAAACUGGAUUGUUGGGUAUAUUUUGGAAGUGUGCCAGAAUUGGCGAACGGAAGAGUCCUUAUGUUGCAGUAUGCUGUAUAGUAAUGGCCUUCAGCAUCCUCUUCAUACAGUAGCUGGGGAAAAUGCCAGAAUUUAGUUGCCAUCAGAUUUGAUUGUGAACAAGGACUGACUGCAGAAAAUAAUGGAAAGGAUGUUUAACUCUUUUAUCUCCGAACAUUGAAUGAGAUAAAUUUCCAGAUGCUGUUCUCUAUUUUAAUGUUAUUGGACCAAUGUUCUGUAUAAACAAUUAAGAUGUAACCAUUUAAUAGUCUGUAACAAUCAACCUCAGUACUGUCACUACAAUAUUACAUUCUGCAUAUGUUAUUCUGUUGUAUCAGAUACGAAAUUUUAGUGAGGUAUCUCUAAGGCACAUAGUAGAAAACAAAAUUGGUUAAUUACUCAAGUUCCUUUCACUGUGAUUUGGAAAUGAUUUAAUCUUUAUAGAAUGAGACCCUUUUUUGGACUAGCUUUUUUAUUAAAAUGGCUCAAUUUGUGUUGAUAAGGAUUGCAUUAAUAUUUAAUAGUGCUUGCUUUUCCUCUGGGCACACCAUUUUGAUCAUUAACCAGAGUACCUCUACUCUUAGCAAACUCUAGUUUAUGACAAGUAUUUAAAAUAUUUAAAACAAGCUUAUGCAGUUUUUAAGGACGAAGGUAAAUGAGAUGUAACUUAAAAAUACUAUUGGGAAAAUGUUGAUAUUUAACAUUAGUGGAUUUAGACUAGCCAAAUGACAUAGUAGGCUCUGAAACAUCUUGUCAAGUAUAUGUAUUUUGUGCAUGAAUUUUUGCCGGAAAGCUGUCUUUCUCUGAAAAACACAACAUUCUUAGAAUGAAAAGAACAAUUAUAAAAUAAUUAUCCUAUAUGUGUUUUUCAUUCUUUUUAGUGUCAUGGCUUCAAAAAUGAAACAUUUAUUUUAAUUGCCGUAAAGGAACUGUAUUUUUGUUUUGUUUUUUAACACAGCACUUUAAAUCCAGUUUGUGUUUUGUCAACUUGAACUGGAAUCUCUUUUGUUACUUUGGAGGUGAUAAAUAGUUUUCAAAUCUACUGAUUUGUAUACUGUGGCACAAGUAUCUUUGAACUUUGAUAGUGAAAGGAGACCUUCAACAAUUUUUAGUCUAGGCAAGAGGAAUAUUAGGAAUGUGACUUCUAAAUUUUACAAUAGAGCAGUUAUUUUAAGGUCAUGGUUAACAUUUCUUAAGGUUCAACUAAAAUUCAGUUAAAAUUUCAGAGCUACGAGGAACUUAAAUCUUAGCUAAAAAUUACCUGUUGUAGAUAGUAUUAAUUAGAUUGUUUGCAGCUAUUAAUUCAUCAUAAAGAUAAAAUGAACAAACUUCCUUUUUUUAAACAAAAAAAGAAAAUUAUUUCUAGAUUAAUAGGCUAGUAGUUAUUUCUGCAGAAACAAAGUAUGGAACUGAAAGCCACCUAUUUUUAUUUUAGACUAAUUUAAACCACUUGGAAUGGAUUCUAGGAAACAUCUUAAGCUUGUGUGUUGCCUGUGGUGGUUUUUUGUUUGGGGGUGUUUUUUGGUUUUGGUUUGAUUUUCUGUAUUUUGUUAUCUGGGGAUUUUUUGUUUGUUUGUUUUGGUUUGGUUUUGGUUUUAUAUUUUUGGCAUGUCUAUGGCAGUUAAAAGUGGUAUAUUUUGCUUUAGAUAGGGAAUCAGGUUAUAAUCAUUGUUCUUCCUCUAAACUGCCUCUUGGGCUUUACAUCAGGUCAAGGAUUUUUAGGGUUUCUCAAAAAUAGGAUUCUUGUCAGUGUAUCCAUGCUGAGUAAGUCACCUUUCUGGCUCUAAUUUCUGGGUGGCCAUCUGUUGUCCAGCUCUGCUGCCAACUGGACUUUCCAAAAGCCAUGUCAACUAAUUUUUUAUAUGCUAAGACAAAUCGAAUAUGAAAAGAGGAAGAAUAUUCUAGAUAUUCUAAGACAUUUCUUAAUUUGGCAUCUCAGAGGAGGUAGGUGGAAAGUAAAGGAAGAGAUAAUUUUGGGGGAAAAUUUGUGGAAACAUACAAAACGUUUUGCUUUGUAUAGAUGCUAAACAGAGUGGGAGGCAGCAUAUUUGUAACAACAACCAUUCUGACCUUUUGAAACACAAGCUUUUGGAGAAGUCAGGGAGAGACACAGUAUGAAUAAAAGCAAUUAACAUUUUCUUUAAUGUAUAUUUUUCAAAGAGGACCACUGAAUCCUGUUCUCUAACCCAAGGGGCAGUGUAGGUGGUUUUAAGCCCACAGAAUAUUGAGAUAUUUCUCUUGUGGUUUUGGUGGGGUGGUGGGAUGCAGAAGGUUAUUAAAGAUCAAUUUAAGCAUCAGAUAGACUAUCUCUUUUAUUUUUUUAACUUUUAGGUUCAGGGGUACAUGUGCAGGUUGUUAUAUAGGUAAACUCAUGUCAAGUGGUUUUGUUGUACAGAUUAUUUUGUCACCCAGGUGCUAAGCCUAGUACCCAGUAGUUAUUUUCCCUGCUCUUCUCCCUCCUCCCACCCUCCACCCUCAAGUAGGCCCCAGUGUCUGUUGUUCCUUUCUUUGUGUCCUUGAGUUCUCAUCAUUUAGCUCCUACUUCUAAGUGAGAACAUGUAUUUGGUUUUCUGUUCUGUGUUAGUUUGCUAAGGAUAAUGGCCUCCAGCUCAGAUGGAAUAUCUCUAUCAUAUAGACCUGUUGUUACAGGGCAGGAUCGGAUGAUGGACACUGAAGUCCUCAGCUUGCUAAGUUCAGUUGCUCUCCCUAGCCUCCUUUUGGCUUCAGAGUCUUUUGAUUCCAUCUAUCCUGGUAUUUUUUGUGUGCUGAUGUUUAGUUCUGGAUUGGCUUCAGCUGUGCUAAUAGGAAGGGCGUUGUCUUUUCAAGCAAUCUUAAAAGGUGGUCAAUCAAAAGGCCAGAGUCUGAAUCCCUUCUGUGGCUUAAAUAAUUUGAGGAUCAAGUCCAGUGUCUUGUUAAUCCCUGUUCUACUGUGCCAGACACUAUCUUGAAUGCUUUUAUAUGUUCAGGUUCAAAAUCGCUCUUUCAUACCAGGGGAUGAUAGUAACGUGUAACUUGCAAUAGAUUCCUUCAUCUUAGUAAUAAGAUGAUCAGUCUAGUUAGGACAAAAUAGAGAUUGAAUAAAUUAACUUUUCCAAGUU